UACCAGCACCCCGAGUGGUCGGGACGUUUAUUGGGCCUAAAGCAUCCGUAGCCGGUUCUACAAGUCUUCCGUUAAAUCCAGCUGCUUAACAGAUGGGCUGCGGAAGAUACUAUGGAGCUAGGAGGCGGGAGAGGCAAGCGGUACUCGAUGGGUAGGGGUAAAAUCCGUUGAUCCAUUGAAGACCACCAGUGGCGUAGGCGGCUUGCCAGAACGCGCUCGACGGUGAGGGAUGAAAGCUGGGGGAGCAAACCGG
rnacentral:rRNA from 1 species